rnacentral:sRNA from 12 species
GCAUCGGUUGAGGGUUAUACCGCAGUGACUCAGUGUCAUACAUCCAAGGAGAGCGACGGCAGAUGUAUGGACGGUGC